rnacentral:rRNA from 1 species
UACGUAGGGGCCAAGCGUUGUCCGGAUUUAUUGGGCGUAAAGGGCUCGUAGGUGGUUUGGUAAGUCGCUCGUAAAAGCUCGGGGCUCAACCCCGAGAUGCGGUCGAAACUGCCAUGACUAGGGUCCGGUAGAGGUGAGUGGAAUUCUCGGUGUAGCGGUGGAAUGCGCAGAUAUCGAGAGGAACACCAGUAGCGAAGGCGGCUCACUGGGCCGGUACCGACACUGAGGAGCGAAAGCGUGGGGAGCAAACAGG